rnacentral:tRNA from 1 species
AGUGAAGUGCCUGAAAAAUAGGGCUAUCUUGAUAGGGUAGAAAAUGUAAAUAUUUACCUUCACUA